UACGUAGGUGGCAAGCGUUGUCCGGAAUUAUUGGGCGUAAAGGGCGUGUAGGUGGAUUCUUAAGUCGUGUGUCUAAGUGCGAAGCUCAACUUCGUAUAGGCGCAGGAAACUGGGAAUCUUGAGUGCAGGAGAGGAAAGUGGAAUUCCCAGUGUAGCGGUGAAAUGCGUAGAUAUUGGGAGGAACACCAGUGGCGAAGGCGACUUUCUGGACUGUGUCUGACACUGAGGCGAGAAAGCUAGGGGAGCGAACGGG
rnacentral:rRNA from 1 species